rnacentral:rRNA from 1 species
UACAGAGGGUGCGAGCGUUGUCCGGAAUCACUGGGCGUAAAGGGCGCGUAGGUGGUUGGGGAAGCGUGUGGUGAAAGCCCGGGGCUCAACCCCGGGUCGGCCAUGCGAACUGCCCGACUGGAGCACGGUAGAGGCCAAUGGAAUUCCGGGUGUAGCGGUGGAAUGCGUAGAGAUCCGGAAGAACACCGGUGGCGAAGGCGGUUGGCUGGGCCGUGGCUGACACUGAUGCGCGGCAGCGUGGGAGCAAACAGG